rnacentral:rRNA from 1 species
UCUAACUAUGACGGGGAAACCAUGAGCCGUGCGGCGGCGAUUCUGGAACAGCUGCACUGCCCGUUCAUCAUCAACCAGAACCGGUACUCCAUUCUCGAUCGUGUUUCGGAGAAAAACGGCAUUUUGUCAGCGAGUGAGCAGCUGCAAAAGGGUGUGAUCAUCUACAGUCCGCUGGCACAGGGCAUGCUGACAGACCGGUAUCUCCACGGCAUUCCGGAGGACAGCCGGAUUCGGACUGACGGCAGAUUCCUGCAGGAAUCCCAGCUGACGGAAGAACGGCUCUCCCAGCUGCGGCAGCUGCAGGCAAUCGCACAGGGCAGGGGACAGACGCUGGCACAGCUGGCACUCUGCUGGAUUUUGCGGCAAAAGGCAGUGACCAGCGUGCUGGACCGAUAGCGAACCAGUACUGUGAAGGAAAGGUGAAAAGAACCUCGAACAGAGGAGUGAAAGAGACCCUGAAACCAUGCGCCUACAAGCGGUCGGAGCAUGUUAAAAUGUGACGGCGUGCCUUUUGCAUAAUGAACCUACGAGUUACUCUCGCUGGCAAGGUUAAGCGAUUCAGUCGCGCAGCCGAAGCGAAAGCAAGUCCGAACAAGGCGUACAGUCAGCGGGAGUAGACGCGAAACCAAGUGAUCUACCCUUGGUCAGGUUGAAGGUUGGGUAACACCAACUGGAGGACCGCACCGAUAAGCGUUGAAAAGCUUACGGAUGAACUGAGGGUAGGAGUGAAAGGCCAAUCAAACUUGGAGAUAGCUCGUACUCCCCGAAAUGCAUUUAGGUGCAGCCUCGAAGCAGAGUGAUAGAGGUAGAGCGACUGAUAAGAUGCGAGGGCUUCACCGCCUAUCAAGUCUUGACAAACUCCGAAUACUAUCACUUGAUCUUUGGGAGUGAGGGCAUGGGUGCUAAGGUCCAUGUCCGAAAGAGGAACAACUCAGACCACCGGCUAAGGUCCCGAAAUAAGGGCUAAGUUGAACAAACGAAGUAAAACUGCAAAGACAGCUAGGAUGUUGGCUUGGAAGCAGCCAUUCAUUUAAAGAGUGCGUAACAGCUCACUAGUCGAGGAGUUUUGCAUGGAUAAUAAUCGGGCAUAAGCCCUUUACCGAAGCUGUGGAUGUCGUAAGACAUGGUAGGGGAGCAUUCCGGCGGCGACGAAGGCCGUCCUCGAGGACGACUGGAGCUUUCGGAAAAGCAAAUGUAGGUAUAAGUAACGAUAAAGGGGGCGCGAAACCCCCUCGCCAUAAGACUAAGGAUUCCUGAUCAACGCUAAUCGGAUCAGGGUAAGUCGGGCCCUAAGGCGCAGCCGAACGGCGCAGCCGAUGGAAGAAACGGUAAAAAUUCCGUUACUGGAUAUAGGAGCGAUGUGGAGACGGAGAAGUGACACACCCGCCUGCCGACGGAAGCGCAGGUUAAAGGAAGUAGGUAAACGCCGGGCAGGCAAAUCCGCCUGGCGUGCCGAAGCUGACAGUAUCGAGAGCCCCCGGGCAAUCGAAUAGCGGUGGUAAUCAGGCUCCCAAGAAAAUCCGCUAAGCAUAUUCUAUAUUCACCCGUACCCCAAACGGACACACGUAGUCGGGUAGAAUAUACCAAGGCGCUCGAAAGACUCACGGUUAAGGAACUAGGCAAAUUGACCCUGUAACCUCGGGAAAAAGGGUCCCCAGUAAGAUGGGGCGCAGAGAAUAGGUCCAGGCAACUGUUUAACAAAAACACAGGGCUGUGCAAAAUUUCAAGAUGAAGUAUACAGCCUGACACCUGCCCGGUGCCGGAAGGUUAAGAGGAGAGCUAAUCGCAAGAGAAGGCUUGAAUUGAAGCCCCGGUAAACGGCGGCCGUAACUAUAACGGUCCUAAGGUAGCGAAAUUCCUUGUCGGGUAAGUUC